rnacentral:tRNA from 1 species
GCUGUGGUAGUUCAUUGAUAGAAUUCUCACCUUCCAUGCGGGAGACCUGGGUUCGAUUCUUGGCCAAUGUU